GUGGGGAAUAUUGGGCAAUGGGCGAAAGCCUGACCCAGCAACGCCGCGUGAGGGAAGAAGGCCUUCGGGUUGUAAACCUCUGUCCUUGGUGACGAAGAAAGUGACGGUAGCCAAGGAGGAAGCCCCGGCUAACUACGUGCCAGCAGCCGCGGUAAUACGUAGGGGGCGAGCGUUGUCCGGAAUUACUGGGCGUAAAGGGUGCGUAGGUGGCCUUUUAAGUUGGAUGUGAAAUACCCGGGCUUAACUUGGGGGGUGCAUCUAAUACUGGGGGGCUAGAGUGCAGGAGAGGGAAGCGGAAUUCCUAGUGUAGCGGUGAAAGGCGUAGAUAUUAGGAGGAACACCAGUGGCGAAGGCGGCUUUCUGGACUGUAACUGACACUGAGGCACGAAAGCGUGGGGAGCAAACAGGAUUAGAUACCCCGGUAGUCC
rnacentral:rRNA from 1 species